rnacentral:precursor_RNA from 8 species
UCCUGCUUUGCAUCCUUUGAUAUUGAGAGCUGAACCAUUCUGCAGCAUGGCUGCCUGUGGAUCCUCUGGGGAAAGGUAAAUGCUGCAGAAUCGUACCGUUCUUGGUAUCACUGGUCUUCACUUCACUGA